rnacentral:rRNA from 1 species
GUCUACGGCUAUGCUACCCUGAACAGGCCCUAUCCCGUCUGAUCUCAGAAGCUAAGCAGGGUUGGGCCUGGUUAGUACUUGGAUGGGAGACCACCUAGGAAGACCAGGUGCUGUAGGUG